AGAUAUAACGUCCCUGCCCGUGCUUACUGGUCCACUAGUAGCACCUGGGAACCGCAUACUGUGGUACAGCCACCGUCAUAAGAUUUUUAAGUCUUUGUCUCCACCAGACAGAAUGACAGCAUUUCAAAGGCCAGGAAUUUUAAAAUGCUGGUAUUCAGGGCCAGGGAUCGCUGGUGGGUAGGGGGGUACUUCCUUUUUCUCUCCAGUGUUUGGGGGAUGGACAGCUG